rnacentral:rRNA from 1 species
CGAACAGACGAGGAGCUUGCUCCUCUGACGUUAGCGGCGGACGGGUGAGUAACACGUGGAUAACCUACCUAUAAGACUGGGAUAACUUCGGGAAACCGGAGCUAAUACCGGAUAAUAUAUUGAACCGCAUGGUUCAAUAGUGAAAGACGGUUUUGCUGUCACUUAUAGAUGGAUCCGCGCCGCAUUAGCUAGUUGGUAAGGUAACGGCUUACCAAGGCAACGAUGCGUAGCCGACCUGAGAGGGUGAUCGGCCACACUGGAACUGAGACACGGUCCAGACUCCUACGGGAGGCAGCAGUAGGGAAUCUUCCGCAAUGGGCGAAAGCCUGACGGAGCAACGCCGCGUGAGUGAUGAAGGUCUUCGGAUCGUAAAACUCUGUUAUUAGGGAAGAACAAAUGUGUAAGUAACUAUGCACGUCUUGACGGUACCUAAUCAGAAAGCCACGGCUAACUACGUGCCAGCAGCCGCGGUAAUACGUAGGUGGCAAGCGUUAUCCGGAAUUAUUGGGCGUAAAGCGCGCGUAGGCGGUUUUUUAAGUCUGAUGUGAAAGCCCACGGCUCAACCGUGGAGGGUCAUUGGAAACUGGAAAACUUGAGUGCAGAAGAGGAAAGUGGAAUUCCAUGUGUAGCGGUGAAAUGCGCAGAGAUAUGGAGGAACACCAGUGGCGAAGGCGACUUUCUGGUCUGUAACUGACGCUGAUGUGCGAAAGCGUGGGGAUCAAACAGGAUU